UACGUAGGGUGCAAGCGUUGUCCGGAAUUAUUGGGCGUAAAGAGCUCGUAGGCGGUUUGUCGCGUCUGCUGUGAAAACCCGAGGCUCAACCUCGGGCCUGCAGUGGGUACGGGCAAACUAGAGUGCGGUAGGGGAGAAUGGAAUUCCUGGUGUAGCGGUGGAAUGCGCAGAUAUCAGGAGGAACACCGAUGGCGAAGGCAGUUCUCUGGGCCGUAACUGACGCUGAGGUGCGAAAGCGUGGGGAGCGAACGGG
rnacentral:rRNA from 1 species